rnacentral:lncRNA from 1 species
CUAUAUACUGUAACAGAUAAUAUAAUAAUAUACAAGUGCAUGUGCAUGUGCACUCCUUGGUGGAAAUUGGUUUAGGUAUCUCUUGUAUUUAUAUUAAUUUUAUUCCUUUUCUAUUUACAAAAAGAAAAACAGCUUAAGUAAAAUACCUUUUCUCCAUGCAAUUUAAGGAGGUCUAGAAGCAAAAAUGAAAUGAAAAAACACUGCAGUUUAUAGUCACAAAAAUCAAUAGAAAAAAUACAAACAAAA